CCGACAUUAUUCCAACAUACCAACUUAAAGUGCCAAACAUAAGUUAACCAUGGCAGGGGUAUACCCGGAUACCCCUACCCCACCCGGUUCUGAACCACCAAUGACCACAGUUUCCUUUUCUGCCACGUUCAUCCUAGGGAGCCUAUUCCUUCUCCUUCAGCUCCCUAUCCCGCCACAAGCUCAGACCUUGAUCCCUUUAGCUGUCUGAGCUCCGCCACCACGAAGAAAUUGCGCUCUCUGCAUUCCUUCCUGCCAACAUAAGUUCAGGAGAUCCCAUCACACCGCCGAGAGAUGGACUCCAUCCGAGCGGUAAUACCCUGGCAGCCCGCCUUCCAACUCACCAUGCCGCACAACUACUCCCCCGACUUUUCUCACAAAGCUCGCCAUCAAACUGUUCACUUUUUUCCUGCACUUAUCAAUAGCCACUGGGUCCCGUGCGUGCCGCCACCGACGCCUCGGGACCAUCUCUGACCACACUAGCAUGAUCCUGGGAAGCAGGUCCCUCAAUUUGUUGAGGUCCUGCUUCAUCCACUUCACCAGCCGUCGUUGCGGCAUGAGGCCCAAGUCAUUGC